rnacentral:rRNA from 1 species
CCUACGGGGGGCUGCAGUGGGGAAUAUUGGACAAUGGGGGGAACCCUGAUCCAGCCAUGCCGCGUGUGUGAAGAAGGCCCUCGGGUUGUAAAGCACUUUCAGUGAGGAAGAACGCGUGGUGGAUAAUACCCAUCAGGAAAGACAUCACUCACAGAAGAAGCACCGGCUAACUCCGUGCCAGCAGCCGCGGUAAUACGGAGGGUGCGAGCGUUAAUCGGAAUUACUGGGCGUAAAGCGCGCGUAGGUGGCUUGAUAAGCCGGUUGUGAAAGCCCCGGGCUCAACCUGGUAACGGCAUCCGGAACUGUCAAGCUAGAGUGCAGAAGAGGAAGGUAGAAUUCCCGGUGUAGCGGUGAAAUGCGUAGAGAUCGGGAGGAAUACCAGUGGCGAAGGCGGCCUUCUGGACUGAAACUGACACUGAGGUGCGAAAGCGUGGGUAGCAAACAGGAUUAGAUACCCCAGUAGUC